GCAUCGAUAGUUCCGUGGCGAGUGGUGGGGCGUUGACCCAUGCGGCCCGGGUUCAACCCCCGAUCGAUGCA